rnacentral:rRNA from 1 species
GACGAACGCUGGCGGCGUGCCUAAUACAUGCAAGUUGAGCGAUGAAGAUUGGUGCUUGCACCAAUUUGAAGAGCAGCGAACGGGUGAGUAACGCGUGGGGAAUCUGCCUUUGAGCGGGGGACAACAUUUGGAAACGAAUGCUAAUACCGCAUAAUAACUUUAAACAUAAGUUUUAAGUUUGAAAGAUGCAAUUGCAUCACUCAAAGAUGAUCCCGCGUUGUAUUAGCUAGUUGGUGAGGUAAAGGCUCACCAAGGCGAUGAUACAUAGCCGACCUGAGAGGGGGAUCGGCCACAUUGGGACUGAGACACGGCCCAAAACUCUACGGGAGGCAGCAGUAGGGAAUCCUCGGGAAUGGACGAAAGUCUGACCGGGCAACGCCGGGGGAGUGAAGAAGGUUUUCGGGUCGUAAAACUCGGUUGGUAGAGAAGAACGUUGGUGAGAGUGGAAAGCUCAUCAAGUGACGGUAACUACCCAGAAAGGGACGGCUAACUACGUG